UUAAAAUCUGGACAUAUAAAUUCACAAUUCGGGUUUAAGUCGGGUUGGGUUUUUUCAAAACCCAACCUUAUUCGGUUUGGGCUGGGUUCAACCCGAACCCAACCCGAGAACCCAAAUUAAACAUUUCAUAAAAAAAAAUAAAAAUCCACGACAAACACAUAUCACAAACCCUAACUUUCUCUCUCCUCAUCCUUCGCUAACACUCUCUCUCAUCAUCCUUCUCUUCUCUUCUCUUCGCUAACUCUCUCUCUUCUUUCUGUUACUCUCUCUACGGCCAUUCAUGGGCAGAGUUGAGAGGGGGCGAAGCUUGAGAGUUGAGAGGGGCUUAAUUUUUUUUUUUUUCUCCUUUCUUUCUCUUUCUCUCUCUUCUUUUUCUUUCUCUUUCUCUCUCUGCCGCCGUCCAUGGGCGAAGCUUGAGAGUUGAGAGACAGCGGCUGAAGCUUGCGAACGGCGAACCCGAACUGGAAAAGCAGGCGAUGGAAACUGAAAGAUAUGGGUUUUGAUUUUUUGAACAAUCUGAAAUGAAAUGCCGAUUUGGGUUUUGAUAUAGUUGCAGAGAGAGAGAGAGAGAAGGCAAGUUCAGAGUUGAGAACGUGAAGAGAGAUGGAGGCGGCGAUUGGUAAGGCUGAAACGAUUUGCCCUUAAAUAUAUAUAUAUAUAUAUAUAUAUAUAUAAUAAAAAUAAUAUAAUAAAAAAAUAUAAUAUACAUAUAUAUAUAAUAUAUGAUAUAUAUAAAUUUCCCAAAAAAAAAAAAUAAUUAAAAAAAAUCUCAACCCGUCAACCCGACCCAAUCCGCCCGAAAAAAUUCAGUUCGGGUUAUGACUACAACCCAUGUUGGGUGUAAUUCGGGUUGGCCCAACCCAACCCGAUUCGAGUUGAGGUUGGGUUGGGGCUGGGCUGGGUUGGGCUAACCCAACUUGCAAUCUUAAAUUUUGCUAGUUCUCAAAAAGUCAAAAAGUACUUGCCAUUUACAACUUUUUGACUUUGUUUUUAAUAUUAAUAAUGUUUAACUAUUUAUCAGUGAAUAACUUCAUCCUAUUCAUCCUUUGUGUAUUUCAAUAAUAAAAUAUCACAUCAGUUUUAAUAAUCAAAUAACUGAAAAAAUUGACGUGCAAAGAGUGUUGGGGGGUGGUAAUGGAUGUGCAGCGGGCCGGCAUAAGCCGAAGCACGUGGUCCAUUUGAUGUCUGUCAUCUCACCCAAAAAAACUUAAAACUACUAUUAUAUUUACACUUUGUGACCAAAGAGUCCGACAACGACUCAGAUACCCCUGAAUGGCCCAAAAGAUUCUUCGUAUGGCGUCAGUCAAAUUGAAAAUUAAAUAGUACUCAAAAAUUUAAAACUUAAAUUUUAAGUAGUACUAAAGUUUUUAUGUGUUAAUUAAAAAAUAAUUUUUAUUUUUUUAUAUAUUUUUAAAUUUUCAAUAUCUAUCACUUAAAAUUUUAUCAUAUUUUAAGUAUUGCUUAUCAUUUUUAAUGAUAAUUAAAUUAUCUUAUCAAACAUUUAAUUGAAUUAAAUACUUAUCAAACACAUUUAAUUGAAUUAAAUAAUUAAAUUAUAUAAUGUGGUUAUAAUUUCAAGGCUCUCUUUAUUCCUAUCUAAUUUUAAAAAUUAUCGUGUCACAAUACGAAUCCUCUCAUUCAAAAGAGAGGUCAGAGCAUUCAACCACUCUUAUACAACAAUAUAAAUACAAUAUUAUCUAAUAUUUAUACUUUAUAAGUUGUUAUUUUUAUUGGUUUGACUAGGAGGCAUAGCCUCUUGUAAUUGCACCUUGUGGAUGACAUGUGACCCCGAUUUUGCUAUAAAAAAAUAAAAAAAAAUAAAAAAAAAAA